CGGUAAGAGGGGACCUAAAAUGUCAUCGCUCUUCAGGACAUGCCAGUGUUUCCGCAAUAUCUUUUUAAUGUGCACCAGGUCUGCUUCAAAUGGAUUGUUGUGCCAUAUCUGUUCUGCUUCCCAUUCGGCUACGAAAAGGUUGGCGUAACUCGGCACGAACCUGGCACCCAUGGCUGUCCCACAUAGAUGACGGUAAAACUGGUGUUCAAACAAGAAA